AACGAACGCUGGCGGCAGGCUUAACACAUGCAAGUCGAGCGGGCACCUUCGGGUGUCAGCGGCGAACGGGUGAGUAACGCGUGGGAACGUGCCCUUUCCUCCGGAAUAGCCUCGGGAAACUGAGAUUAAUGCCGGAUACGCCCUUUUGGGGAAAGAUUUAUCGGGGAAGGAUCGGCCCGCGUUGGAUUAGGUAGUUGGUGGGGUAAUGGCCUACCAAGCCGACGAUCCAUAGCUGGUUUGAGAGGAUGAUCAGCCACACUGGGACUGAGACACGGCCCAGACUCCUACGGGAGGCAGCAGUGGGGAAUCUUGGACAAUGGGGGCAACCCUGAUCCAGCCAUGCCGCGUGAUCGAUGAAGGCCUUAGGGUUGUAAAGAUCUUUCAGCUGGGAAGAUAAUGACGGUACCAGCAGAAGAAGCCCCGGCUAACUCCGUGCCAGCCGCCGCGGUAAAAC
rnacentral:rRNA from 1 species